GACGAACGCUGGCGGCGUGCUUAACACAUGCAAGUCGAACGGAAAGGCCCUGCUUUUGUGGGGUGCUCGAGUGGCGAACGGGUGAGUAACACGUGAGUAACCUGCCCCUGACUGUGGGAUAAUUUGAGGAAACUGGGGCUAAUACCGGAUAGGAGCUCCUGACGCAUGGUGGGGGUUUGAAAGGUUCGGCGGUUGGGGAUGGACUCGCCACGGAUCAGCUUGUUGGUGGGGUAGUGGCUUACCAAGGCGUUGACGGGUAGCCGGCCUGAGAGGGUGACCGGCCACAUUGGGACUGAGAUACGUCCCAGACUCCUACGGGAGGCAGCAGUGGGGAAUAUUGCACAAUGGGCGGAAGCCUGAUGCAGCAACGCCGCGUGCGGGAUGACGGCCUUCGGGUUGUAAACCGCUUUCGCCUGUGACGAAGCGAGAGUGACGGUAAUGGGUAAAUAAGCACCGGCUAACUACGUG
rnacentral:rRNA from 1 species